UUUCUAUCCAUUAUUAGACUCAGAAAACAAGCAUAUUUCAAGUGGCAUUCUGCACAGUCAGUGAUGUAUCUGGGCUCAAUGCCACUGUUCCUCUCAACAUGUGAUAAUAAUGUUAUCUGUUAACUUUGUCAUAAAAACAAAGUUUGACUCCACAGAAGCAGCUGGAAGUAGAUAACCACAAUAUGCUUGGACCUCUUAGGAGCACACUGUUUGGCAUAUGUUGCUAAAAGUUCCUCAUAUUUAGGAAUUCUUUUAAGCAAAAUACUUGUGCUGAGUCUCAGCUGGUGUACAUGAAGGAAUAUUCAUUUCCCAGUGGUAACACGGAAUCCUUUUUUUUUUUUUUACCUUUUUAAUAUAUAUUUAAUGGAUUGAAACACUUUGAAG
rfam:Buceros rhinoceros silvestris contig82824, whole genome shotgun sequence.